ACGUAGGGUGCGAGCGUUAAUCGGAAUUACUGGGCGUAAAGCGUGCGCAGGCGGUUCGUUAAGUUUGUCGUGAAAGCCCCGGGCUCAACCUGGGAAUGGCGAUGGAAACUGGCGGGCUUGAGUAUGGCAGAGGGGGGUGGAAUUCCGCGUGUAGCAGUGAAAUGCGUAGAGAUGCGGAGGAACACCGAUGGCGAAGGCAGCCCCCUGGGCCAAUACUGACGCUCAGGCACGAAAGCGUGGGGAGCAAACAGGAUUAGAUACCCUGGUAGUCCACGCCCUAAACGAUGCUCACUAGGUGUUGGGGAAGCGAUUCCUUGGUACCGUAGCUAACGCGUGAAGUGAGCCGCCUGGGGAGUACGGCCGCAAGGUUA
rnacentral:rRNA from 1 species